GAUGUAGAGUUUUGUCUUGGAUUCAAAGAAGAAGGCAUUUUAAGAAGACACCAUGUUUAUGUAGGAUUAGUGAAAGAAUUAGUGAAAAUAGAUAAUUUGUUAGCUUUUACAUCACCAACUUUCAGGUAUUUAUAAAAAUGGUGUUUUCUUCUUCAUAUUUUUUUUAAUGAUUUAUUUAUAUUUUUGCAUAACCUGUAUGAAAUCAACUGUAAUAAUCUAUUUGCACUUUGCAGGCCAAAAGAUUUGUAGACUAUUGGCUACUUUGGUCCUNNNNNNNNNNNNAUUAUUAUAUUAAGUAAGCUUAUUUACUAUGUCUUAAACACAACUUAUAUAUAGCUUCUAUGUGUUUUAAUUUAAAGUUUUAAUUUUCCAGUUCAAUGUGUUACAUGUGAAGUUGUAUAGUGUUACAUAGAAAUUGAUUGAUAUUUCUAAUUUCAAACAUGCGUUUGAAUCUGCUUGAAUAAUAAUUUAUAAUAUUUGAAUGGUUUGUCUACUUUAACUCCAUGCUCCGGGUUAGAUUAGAUGCGUUGAAGCCAUAGUCUCAUUUUGAAUCAGCUCCUUAAGUUUACAAUGACUACCAUAUUCAUUUUAUCUUUUUCCCAAGAUACCAUUCUUUUAAUUAUUUUAGUCACAAUCAUGUUUAUGUAUUUUGAAAUUUGGAUUCAAUCGUAUAAGCAUUGAUCUGAAACUUGCAAAAUUUCAGACUCAUUGUGCCUAAUUUAAUGUUUCCUUU
rnacentral:lncRNA from 1 species